CAUUCUCUGUCCUUUAGGACUGCCUGUGGUUGUGGUGGCCCUCACCUUAGGAAGUAGUUACAGAGUGGAUGAUCCACUGGGUUACAGGCAGGAGGAAUUUUGCUGGCUUGCUGCCCUCGAUCCAAAGGGGAACUUUGACUUCAAGCUGCCAAUGUUUUGGGGGUUCCUGAUCCCUGUGGCGUUCAUGCUUAUCUUCAACACGGUGGUGUUGGUAUUUUUUGCAGUUACAACAGUACAAGACACACAUCGAUGAAGAAGAAGUUCCUCAGCAGCAUUUCUCUGGCUGUGGUGCUCGGUCUGUCCUGGAUCCUGUGCUAUCUGUUGCUCAUUACACAGAACCAGACCAUGGACAUCAUACUCAACAUCUCCUUCUGUGUACUCACCACCACUCAGGGCUUGCAGAUUUUCAUUCUGUUCACAGCAAGAACAGCAAUUGUCAAGAAAAUGAUGUCAAGUGCUUUGAAAUAUAUCUCUAGUGUUGGGAUCCCUCUUCCCACUAGGAAGUUCAGUGUAUGGCGAGGAAAGCACAGUGAUCAAGUAGAAUCAUACACACAGCAGGACACUGAUCUGUCAUUUCCUCCUUGUUCCUCACAGACAUCUAACUGAUGGGCUGCAAGUUCAACCUCGGUUGAAAAAUAUUUUAUAUACCUCCACUAUUGACCUAUAAUAUACAGUAUAAUACACACAAUUUUAUUGUGUAUUGUUACUGUGUAUUCCCUCAGAAGUUGUGUUGUCCAAGGAUUUUUUGGCUGUGCACAUUUAUGUAAAUAUUGUAUAUCCAUACUCUGUUAUUUUUUAAAUGUAACUGUUUUGAAUAAAACUGAAUAUUUCCUUUUGAAACUAA